rnacentral:tRNA from 1 species
ACAUGGGUGGUUCAGUGGUAGAAUUCUCACUUUCCAUAUGGGAGACCCAGGUUUGAUCCCUGGCCAAUGGC